AUACGUAGGUGACAAGCGUUAUCCGGAUUUACUGGGUGUAAAGGGCGUGUAGGCGGUUUAGCAAGUCAGAAGUGAAAUUCCCGGGCUUAACUUGGGCGCUGCUUCUGAAACUGCUUUACUUGAGUGCUGGAGAGGAUAGUGGAAUUCCUAGUGUAGCGGUAAAAUGCGCAGAUAUUAGGAGGAACACCGGUGGCGAAGGCGGCUAUCUGGACAGUAACUGACGCUGAGGCGCGAAAGCACGGUGAGCAAACAGGAUUAGAUACCCUGGUAGUCCGUGCCGUAAACGAUGAAUACUAGGUGUAGGGGGUAUCGACUCCCUCUGUGCCGCAGUUAACACAAUAAGUAUUCCGCCUGGGGAGUACGGCCGCAAGGUUGAAACUCAAAGGAAUUGACGGGG
rnacentral:rRNA from 1 species